UGGGGAAUAUUGCACAAUGGGGGAAACCCUGAUGCAGCCAUGCCGCGUGUGUGAUGAAGGCCUUCGGGUUGUAAAGCACUUUCAGCGAGGACGAAAGGUUGGCGACUAAUACUUGUCAACUGUGACCUUACUCGUACAAGACGCACCGGCUAACUCGUGC
rnacentral:rRNA from 1 species